CGCGUCUGCUGUGCAGUGGCACGUGGGAAGCGGGAUACUACAGCUGAGCAAUAUCUUGUACUUUGUGGCUUGGUCCACUCUUCAGCCUCAGCCAGGUUACCAAGUUUGAUCGACCCGAUUUUUUUCUGAGAAGAUGCCUCCAAAAAAAAGACGCAACCUCAUUGUCAAUGCACAUGCCCAACCGGGUGUGGGAAGAUGGCACCUGAACGAGAAUUUUUCAACACUUCCUGCUACCAGCACUGAGUUGAAAAAGGGACAUGUAUUACACCUGUACGUCUGUGCAGCGGGAAGUAGUAGAGCUGAGGCAGCGAGACAAUUAAAAACACAUUUUUCAUCUGAGGGCUUUUCUUUCAGUAAGUCCCUGAGUAAUGAUAUAAGAGUGGUUGUGACAGCAACAUGGAAUAAGUUUAAAAAACUCACUGACCCAAAAGAAUUUGAACAGUUUUCAGCAAUAUGUGAUGAACCGUUUGACCUCACUGAGGCAGUUGAUCCUGAGUUCACAGUUCCUGUUGCACAGUUGCCAGUUCCUCAAGUUCCUGUUGUUUCACCUGGAAUUUUUGAUGAGAAAUUAACUGUUGAACAAACAGAUUCUGACACAAUGACCAGAACUCCAGAGAGUCACCUUCAAGUUCAUUCUGAGCCAGGUUCCUCUGCCAAUUCAAGGAGUUGUCGAGGUGACCUGCUCACUCCUCGAGAAGCUAAGAUGAAACAACGAUCGGAUUUUAUGUUGUCAACCCACAGAGCAA